GAUAAACGCUGGCGGCGCACAUAAGACAUGCAAGUCGAACGGACUUAACUCAUUCUUUUAGAUUGAGAGCGGUUAGUGGCGGACUGGUGAGUAAUACGUAAGCAACCUGCCUAUCAGAGGGGGAACAACAGUUAGAAAUGACUGCUAAAUACCGCAUAUGCCAUAAUCACCACAUGGUGAUAGUGGGAAAGGAGCAAUCCGCUGAUAGAUGGGCUUACGGCUGAUUAGCUAGUUGGUGGGGUAAUGGCCUACCAAGGCGACGAUCAGUAGCCGGUCUGAGAGGAGUGAACGGCCACAUUGGGACUGAGAUACGGCCCAGACUCCUACGGGAGGCAGCAGUGGGGAAUAUUGGGCAAUGGGGGGAAAACCCCGUGACCCCAAGCAACGCCGCGUGAAGGAAGAAGGCCCCUCGGGUUGUAAAACUUCCUUUUAACCAGGGACGAAAGGAAGUGAACGGUACCU
rnacentral:rRNA from 1 species